rnacentral:rRNA from 1 species
GACGAACGCUGGCGGCGUGCUUAACACAUGCAAGUCGAACGGAAAGGCCCUGCGUUUGUGGGGUGCUCGAGUGGCGAACGGGUGAGUAACACGUGAGUAACCUGCCCUUGACUUUGGGAUAACUUCAGGAAACUGGGGCUAAUACCGGAUAGGAGCUCCUGCUGCAUGGUGGGGGUUGGAAAGUUUCGGCGGUUGGGGAUGGACUCGCGGCUUAUCAGCUUGUUGGUGGGGUAGUGGCUUACCAAGGCUUUGACGGGUAGCCGGCCUGAGAGGGUGAACGGCCACAUUGGGACUGAGAUACGGCCCAGACUCCUACGGGAGGCAGCAGUGGGGAAUAUUGCACAAUGGGCGGAAGCCUGAUGCAGCAACGCCGCGUGCGGGAUGACGGCCUUCGGGUUGUAAACCGCUUUCGCCUGUGACGAAGCGUGAGUGACGGUAAUGGGUAAAGAAGCACCGGCUAACUACGUG